rnacentral:rRNA from 1 species
AAGUCGAGCGCACCUUCGGGGCGAGCGGCGGACGGGUUAGUAACGCGUGGGAACGUGCCCUUCUCUAAGGGAAUAGCCUCUGGAAACGGAGAGUAAUACUUUAUACGCCCUUUCGGGGGAAAGAUUUAUCGGAGAAGGAUCGGCCCGCGUUAGAUUAGAUAGUUGGUGGGGUAACGGCCUACCAAGUCUACGAUCUAUAGCUGGUUUUAGAGGAUGAUCAGCAACACUGGGACUGAGACACGGCCCAGACUCCUACGGGAGGCAGCAGUGGGGAAUCUUAGACAAUGGGCGCAAGCCUGAUCUAGCCAUGCCGCGUGUGUGAUGAAGGCCUUAGGGUCGUAAAGCACUUUCGCCAGAGAUGAUAAUGACAGUAUCUGGUAAAGAAACCCCGGCUAACUCCGUGCCAGCAGCCGCGGUAAUACGGAGGGGGUUAGCGUUGUUCGGAAUUACUGGGCGUAAAGCGUACGUAGGCGGAUCAGAAAGUAUGGGGUGAAAUCCCAGGGCUCAACCCUGGAACUGCCUCAUAAACUCCUGGUCUAGAGUUCGAGAGAGGUGAGUGGAAUUCCGAGUGUAGAGGUGAAAUUCGUAGAUAU